rnacentral:vault_RNA from 1 species
GCACUGGUUUAGCUCAGUGGUUACUUCGAACAUCAAUUCUACCUGAAGAAUUCGCUGCUCUCCAUCCCUCCUCGGGAUCGAACCACGGGCGCUGUCCAGUGCUUUU